CACGUAGGGUGCGAGCGUUGUCCGGAAUUAUUGGGCGUAAAGAGCUCGUAGGCGGUGUGUCGCGUCGGCCGUGAAAACUUGGGGCUUAACUCUGAGCGUGCGGUCGAUACGGGCAUCACUUGAGUUCGGCAGGGGAGACUGGAAUUCCUGGUGUAGCGGUGAAAUGCGCAGAUAUCAGGAGGAACACCGGUGGCGAAGGCGGGUCUCUGGGCCGAUACUGACGCUGAGGAGCGAAAGCGUGGGGAGCGAA
rnacentral:rRNA from 1 species